rnacentral:rRNA from 1 species
GACUCUCGACAAUGGAUAUCUCGACUCUCAAAUCGAUGAAGAAUAUAGCAAAAUGCGAUACUUGGUGUGAAUUGUAGAAUCUCAUGAACAUCAAGUCAUUGAACGCAAAUUGCAUCCAAGGUCUUUGGUCGAGGGCAUGUCUACUUAGGUGUCA